UGGGGCCUACGGGGCGCAGCAGUGGGGAAUAUUGCACAAUGGGGGAAACCCUGAUGCAGCGACGCCGCGUGAGCGAAGAAGUAUUUCGGUAUGUAAAGCUCUAUCAGCAGGGAAGAAAAAAAUGACGGUACCUGAGUAAGAAGCACCGGCUAAAUACGUGCCAGCAGCCGCGGUAAUACGUAUGGAGCAAGCGUUAUCCGGAUUUACUGGGCGUAAAGGGAGCGUAGGCGGCCUG
rnacentral:rRNA from 1 species